rnacentral:rRNA from 1 species
UACGGGGGGGGGCAAGCGUUUGUUCGGAAUUACUGGGCGUAAAGGCUCGUAGGCGGCCAACUAAGUCGGACGUGAAAUCCCUCGGCUCAACCGGGGAACUGCGUCCGAUACUGGAUGGCUCGAGUUCGGGAGAGGGAUGCGGAAUUCCAGGUGUAGCGGUGAAAUGCGUAGAUAUCUGGAGGAACACCGGUGGCGAAGGCGGCAUCCUGGACCGACACUGACGCUGAGGAGCGAAAGCCAGGGGAGCAAACGGG